rnacentral:rRNA from 1 species
GACGAACGCUGGCGGCGUGCCUAAUACAUGCAAGUAGAACGCUGAAGGAGGAGCUUGCUUCUCUGGAUGAGUUGCGAACGGGUGAGUAACGCGUAGGUAACCUGCCUGGUAGCGGGGGAUAACUAUUGGAAACGGUAGCUAAUACCGCAUAAUAGCAGUUGUUGCAUGACAACUGUUUGAAAGGUGCAAUUGCAUCACUACCAAAUGGACCUGCGUUGUAUUAGCUAGUUGGUGGGGUAACGGCUCACCAAGGCGACGAUACAUAGCCGACCUGAGAGGGUGAUCGGCCACACUGGGACUGAGACACGGCCCAGACUCCUACGGGAGGCAGCAGUAGGGAAUCUUCGGCAAUGGACGAAAGUCUGACCGAGCAACGCCGCGUGAGUGAAGAAGGUUUUCGGAUCGUAAAGCUCUGUUGUAAGAGA